rnacentral:rRNA from 1 species
AUUGAACGCUGGCGGCAGGCCUAACACAUGCAAGUCGAGCGGAUGAUGGGAGCUUGCUCUCUGAUUUAGCGGCGGACGGGCGAGUAAUGCCUAGGAAUCUGCCUGGUAGUGGGGGAUAACGUUCCGAAAGGAACGCUAAUACCGCAUACGUCCUACGGGAGAACGCGGGGGAUCUUCGGACCUCGCGCUAUCAGAUGAGCCUAGGUCGGAUUAGCUAGUUGGUGAGGUAAAGGCUCACCAAGGCGACGAUCCGUAACUGGUCUGAGAGGAUGAUCAGUCACACUGGAACUGAGACACGGUCCAGACUCCUACGGGAGGCAGCAGUGGGGAAUAUUGGACAAUGGGCGAAAGCCUGAUCCAGCCAUGCCGCGUGUGUGAAGAAGGUCUUCGGAUUGUAAAGCACUUUAAGUUGGGAGGAAGGGUUGUAGAUUAAUACUCUGCAAUUUUGACGUUACCGACAGAAUAAGCACCGGCUAACUUCGUGCCAGCAGCCGCCGUAAAAC